GCUUAUUUCAAUUCGCAUGGGGUUUUAUGGGUGUGCACCAGAAUCACCCCCAACCAAAGCAAAAAGGUCUUUUGGGUUCCAGCUACAUAAAAAGAAGAUGAUAAAGCUCUGAUUGGGCUUAUUUCAAAUUGGUGUUUUUGGGGUUAGAAUGCACAUUCACCCAAAAAUCGCAUUGUGACAUGUUUAUUAUCAGGCCAAACCAAGCAUAGGUGUUUUGGUUCCAUCUCAAUAGAAAGAGGACGAAUAAGCUUGCAUUGUUCUUUCGGUGUUCAGUCCCCCACAAAUAGCAAAGCAAAGUGUAAUAAGCCAAAACAAAGCCAAACAGGUUGUUUUGGGUUGCAGCAACAUAGAAAGAAGAAUCUUGCAUUUUGCUUAUUUCGUGUUCUUUGGUGUUAAUGCACAUUGACCCAGAAAUCGCAAAGUGUGUGUAAUGAGACCAAAAUAACACAACUGACUUUUCGCUUCCAUAUGCGUAGAAAGAAGACAAAUAAGCCUUGAUUGUGCUUAUUUCAAUUCGCAUGGGGUUUUAUGGGUGUGCACGAGAAUCACCCCCAACCAAAGGACAGUUUUGCCUUCCAACUACAUAAAAAGAAGAUGAUAAAGCUCUCAUUGGGCUUAUUUCAAAUUGGUGUUUUUGGGGUUAGAAUGCACAUUCACCCAAAAAUCGCAGAGUGACAUGUCGGUUAUCAGCUCAAACCAAGCAUACGUGUUUUGGUUCCAUCUCAAUAGAAAGAGGACGAAUAAGCUUGCAUUGUUCUUUCGGUGUUCAGUCCCCACAAAUAGCAAAGCAAAGUGUAAUAAGCCAAACAAAGCCAAACAGGUUGUUUUGGGUUGCAGCAACAUAGAAAGAAGAAUCUUGCAUUUUGCUUAUUUCGUCGUGUUCUUUGGUGUUAAUGCUCAUUGACCAAGAAAUCGCAAAGUGUGUGUAAGGAGAACAAAAUCACACAUUGUCUUUUCGCUUCCAUAUGCGUAGAAAGAAGACAAAUAAGCUUUGAUUGUGCUUAUUUCAAUUUGCAUGGGGUUUUAUGGGUGUGCACCAGAAUCACCCCCAACCAAAGCACAGUUUUGGCUUCCAACUACAUAAAAAGAAGAUGACAAAGCUCUGAUUGGGCUUAUUUGAAUGGUGUUUUUGGGGUUAGAAUGCACAAUCACCCAAAAAUCGCAGAGUGACAUGUUUGUUAUCAGCUCAAACCAAGCAUACGUGUUUUGGUUCCAUCUCAAUAGAAAGAGGACGAAUAAGCUUGCAUUGUUCUUUCGGUGUUCAUUCACUCACAAAUAGCAAAGCGAAUUGUAAUAAGCCUAAACAAAGCCAAACAGGUUGUUUUGGGUUGCAGCAACAUAGAAAGAAGAAUCUUGGAUUUUGCUUAUUACGUGUUCUUUGGAGUUAAUGCACAUUCACCCAGAAAUCGCAAAGUGUGUAAUGAGACCAAAACAACACAACACUGUCUUUUCGCUUCCAUAUGCCUAGAAAGAAGACAAAUAAGCUUUGAUUGUGCUUAUUUCAAUUCGCAUGGGGUUUUAUGGGUGUGCACCAGAAUCACUCCCAAGCAAAGUACAGUUUUGGCUUACAUCUACAUAAAAAGAAGAUGAUAAAGCUCUGACUGGGCUUGUUUCAAAUUGGUGUUUUGGGGGUUAGAAUGCACAUUCAGCCAAAAAUCGCAGACAUGUUUAUUAUCAGACCGAUCCAAGCAUAGGUGUUUUUGUUCCAUCUCAAUAGAAAGAGGACGAAUAAGCUUGCAUUGUUCUUUCUGUGUUCGCUCCCCCACAAAUAGCAAUGCAAAGUGUAAUAAGCCUAAAGAAAGCCAAACAGGUUGUUUUGGGUUGCAGCAACAUAGAAAGAAGAAUCUUGGAUUUUGCUUAUUACGUGUUCUUUGGUGUUAAUGCACAUUGACCCAGAAAUCGCAAAGUGUGUGUAAGGAGACCAAAAUAACACAACAUUGUCUUUUCGCUUCCAUAUGCGUAGAAAGAAGACAAAUAAGCUUUGAUUGUGCUUUUUUCAAUUCGCAUGGGGUUUUAUGGGAGUGCACCAGAAUCACCCCCAACCAAAGCAAAAAGGGCUUUUGGGUUCCAGCUACAUAAAAAGAAGAUGAUAAUGCUCUCAUUGGGCUUAUUUCAAAUUGGUGUUUUUGGGGUUAGAAUGCACAAUCACCCAAAAAUCGCAGAGUGACAUGUCGGUUAUCAGCUCAAACCAAGCAUACGUGUUUUGGUUCCAUCUCAAUAGAAAGAGGACGAAUAAGCUUGCAUUGUUCUUUCAGUGUUCAGUCCCCCACAAAUAGCAAAGCAAGGUGUGAUAAGCCUAAACAAAGCCAAACAGGUUGUUUUGGGUUGCAGCAACAUAGAAAGAAGAAUAUUGGAUUUUGCUUAUUUCGUGUUCUUUGGUGUUAAUGCUCAUUGACCAAGAAAUCGCAAAGUGUGUGUAAGGAGAACAAAAUCACACAACAUUGUCUUUUCGCUUCCAUAUGCGUAGAAAGAAGACAAAUAAGCUUUGAUUGUGCUUAUUUCAAUUUGCAUGGGGUUUUAUGGGUGUGCACCAGAAUCACCCCCAAGCAAAGCAAAAAGGGCUUUUGGGUUCCAGCUACAUAAAAAGAAGAUGAUAAAGCUCUGAUUGGGCUUAUUUCAAAUUGGUGUUUUUGGGGUUAGAAUGCACAUUCACCCAAAAAUCGCAUUGUGACAUGUUUAUUAUCAGGCCAAACCAAGCAUAGGUGUUUUGGUUCCAUCUCAAUAGAAAGAGGACGAAUAAGCUUGCUGUCAGAGCUGGCUCCAGGUCCCAGCUCACAGAGGACCAACGCUAGCCGGCAGUAAUGUGCAAAAGUCUUUAUUGAAGUACAGUUUCCAUUUUCAAGCCGGAGCGCCCCAGCUCUACGUCUAGGGGUUAGAUCGGCGAAGCUCCAUCUGAGUCUCCGCCCCUGUACACCAGUUUAAGAUUCUAGCCUUACUCCACCUCUUACGUCUCUCCUUUCUCCUCUGGGUCCUGCUACCCCCCGGGGUCCCUUCCUUCCUGGAUUCUUCUGACGCUGACCCUCCUGACUCCUCCCCCUCUUUUCGGCGGGCUUUGGGACCUGGCUCCCUAUCCGGGCUGCCAACUGCGCCGCCCUCCUGUACAUUUGAACUUGGCGCGCGCCCAGCCUUCAACCUUCCUCUCGACCGUUUCCUCGCUCCCCGAUGGAGGCGUGGCCAAUCCUGACUCAUGUCCUCCCACUGGCAGUGCGCCGCCUGAUCCCGAUGCCUGGGACUCCUCCCCCCCUACUGCACUCUGGUGUGGACGCUGGUCCUGAUUUCCAACUGCUGCUCUCUGAGUCCCCUCUGGCCCCUUCUUCCUGGGGUGUCCCCUCGGCACCCCCUUGCUCUGACCAAGGGAGCCCCUUUCUGUGAAUCUUCCGAUUCGCUGGAAAGACUCAGAGACCUCGGACCGCUGUCAUCGCUAACAUUUCCUUCGGACUCCUCCCCUCGCUCUCUAUUUCCUCCCUUUCCUGUGCCUCUGCUCCUGAACCCCUGACAUCCAUCCCCCUCGAAGCCCCCCUUCCCCCUCCCCUCCUUCAGGUGUGGGUACUGGGUGCUCCGUCGUUGUGGGGGUGAGUGCCGGAUACAGUUCGUCCCCGUGGCGUGCAUCCAGCCGGAUAAGUCCGGCUCGUCCUCCGUGCUCUCGCCGACCUCAAUUUCCUCUGCUUCCAUCUCUUUGCCGCCGUGCUCGAACCCAAGGUCCUCCCCCAACACGUCCAUGUCCGUCUCUCCCCGGUCUCCUCCGGGGACGUUGCCUGCCAAGGACCCCCCAACCACUUCCUGCGCCACUGCUCCUCUGGUUGAUUGUCCCACCAAUAGGAACGGUCUGAGGCAGACCCCGAGGGUGAUCCCUCCGGGGAACGUGUUUCUAGUGCCGGUUCCUCGUCCGAGGUGAACCCCUGGAAUGUGCUAGCUGAAAAUGUGGGUGUGAAAAGCCAGUCGUCGAAAUACUCGGCUGGCAUGGGCCUGUGUGGGAAAAGGGCAUGGAACUCGUCCUUAAGCCAAGAUUCCUCCAGAGCAUAAUCUGGCACCCAACUGUUGGCGCUAGCCGAGGUACCUUCCUUGGCGAGGAGGUAUUCCACUCCCUCCUCCCCCAUCUCGAGUCUAAAAUCUCUGUGACUUCGUUGACGGGUUCCCGCCUUGGCGACCCCCUUGUGGGCGUUUCCCUGAACGGGUCUGGUGCCGUUCCUGGCUCCUGAAAUCUAUGAGGUGCUUUGUAGGGCGUGAGCACUGAUCUAUGGAAAACUGGGUGCAUUCUGGAUCCCUCCGGCAGUGUCAACCGGAAGGCCACUGGAUUGACCUGUGCCUCGACUUGGUAGGGUCCUAGCUGCUUAUGCCCUAGCUUCUUCUUCGCUAACGAUCUGGCCGGCACUGCCUGGGCUGCUAACCAAACCCAGUCUCCCACCUGUAUGUCUUCCCCAACCCUUCUGUGCUUGUCAGCCUGCAGUUUGUAUGCGUGCUUUGCUAGUUCUAACUGCCUCCGAAGCUGUUCGUGAACCUCCUGCAACUCUGAUGCUAAGGCUUCCGCUGCCUGUGGCUCCCCCUCCCCCUCUCUCGCUAAUCCCGGGAAGGUUCUGGGAUGCCUCCCGUUGUUGGCGAAGAACGGUGUCACCCCCGUGGACACGUGCUUCGUGUUGUUGUAGGCGAACUCAGCGAGCGGCAGGUAGUCCACCCAUGUUGCCGGCUGCUGAUUUGCGUAGCAUCUCAGGUACUGCUGCAUGAUGGCGUUGACUCGCUCCGCUUGUCCGUUCGUCUGCGGGUGUCUCGCCGACGCUAGGUUGAUCUUGACGUUCAGGAAACCCAUCAGCUUCUGCCAGAAGUUCGAGAUGAACUGUCGCCCCCGGUCGGACAGGAUAGACCGUGGCAGACCGUGAACCCUGAACACGUGGUCUAUGAACAGUUUGGCGGUCUGUUCCGCCGUGGCCACCUUCGCGCACGGAAUGAAGUGGGCCAUUUUGGUGAACAUGUCCACCACCACUAGCACUGCCGUCUUGCCCCUCGAGCUGGGUAGAUCCGUGACAAAGUCCAGGGCCACCCUCUCCCACGGUUCGAUCGGUGUCUGCAGCGGUUCGAGCAGUCCCGCCGGCGGUUUGUGCACUGACUUGGCCCUUUGGCAGGUGUCGCACCUCGAGACGUAAUCCGCGACUUCCCCCGCAUCUUGGGCCACCAAAAAUCUCUGGCUACUAAUUCUACCGUCUUCUCUUUGCCAAAGUGCCCGGCGGUGGGUGCGUCGUGCAACUGCUGCAGUACUUUCGCGCGGAGGUCGUCUCCCGGUACGUAGAGGGCCCCUCUGCGGAUGAGCAAUCCGUCGCGUAUCUGGAACUCGUCGUCCUCCGCCGUGCCCCUUUGCACCUCUGCCAUCUUUGCUUGCGCGAAGGGGUCCUCCUGCAGUGCUCGACGUACAGCAUCCAGGUCCACGGUUGCUGAAGCGCACGCCCACGCUUUCGGUGCGAAAAUGUGCUUGGCCGCUGCUGGUGCCGCCUCCUCGAGGUAUUGCGGCUUUCUGGACAGUGCAUCCGCCAUGAUGUUGUUGUCGCCUGGGAUGUACUCUAUCCUGAAGUCGAAAUCCGCAAAGAACUCCGCCCAUCGUAUGUGCCUCUGGUUCAGGAACCUUGCCGUGCGCCAGUACUCCAGGUUUUUAUGGUCCGUGCGGACCUGCACUGUGUGUUUGGCUCCAAUGAGGAAGUGCCGCCACGCCUUGAAUGCUGCAUGAAUGGCCAGCAACUCCCUGUCCCAGAUGGUGUAGUUCUGCUCUGACUUGCUGAGCUUCCUGGAGUAGAAGGCACACGGUCUCCAGUCCCCAUGCGGGUCUUGCUGCAACAGUACUGCUCCCACGGCUCUGUCUGAGGCGUCCGUUUCAACCCUCAUCGGUCUGCUGGGAUUCACAUGCAGUAGCUGCUCUUCGGACGAGAAGAGACGCUUGAGUUUCUGAAAGGACUGUUCCGCUUGCUCCGUCCAGAUGAACUUCUUCUUCUUGGAGCUGAGUGUGUCGGUAAUGGCUGCCGUCUGCAUCGCGAACCCCUUGAUGAACUUGCGGUAAAAGUUGGCGAAACCGACAAACCGUUGGACCUCCUUCCGAUUGCGCGGGCUCUUCCAGUCCAACACUGAGCGAACCUUGGCGCUGUCCAUGGCGAGCCCCUUGUCCGACAACUUGUAGCCCAGGAAAUCUACUUCCUUCAUGUCGAACUGGCACUUUUCCAGCUUGGCGUACAGCCUGUGCUCCUGCAGUCUCUGCAGAACUUCCUUGACGUCUCCCUCGUGGGCCUCCUCUGAUUCUGAAAAUAUCAGGAUGUCGUCCAGGAAGCAGACGCAUUUCUUGUAGAGGAGACCCGCCAAUACGUGAUGCAUGAAGGCUUGAAAACAGUGGGAGCCAUUUUGUAAUCCAAAGGGCAUAACUCUGUAUUCAUAGGUGCCCAGGGGCGUGAACAUGGCAGUCUUCCAUUCGUCGCCCUCCCGCAUGCGAAUCAGGUUGUACGCCCUCGCAGAUCCAACUUUGUGAAAACGCGUCCUUUCCUCACCGUUGCGAGCAGGUCAUCUAUCUUGGGCAUGGGAAAGGCUGUGGGCUUGGUUUUGAGUUCAAAAUUCUAUAGUCCACCACAAGCCUUUUUGGGGCGUGUCCUUCUUCUUCACAAAGAAUACAGGACUGCCCCCACUGCCUUCGACUCCCGGAUGAAACCGCGCUUCAAGUUGAGGUCUAUGAACUCCUGAGUUCCUGCAGCUCGUCUUCGGACAUGGAAUACAGUUUCCCGGUUGGCAGCGUCGCCCUGGCAGGAGGUCAAUCUUGCAGUCAUAAGACCUGUGGGGAGGUAGCUUGUCCGCUUCCUUCUCGCAGAAAACCUCCAAAAACGCUGCGUACUUGAGUGGCACUGCUUGCAGCGUGCCUAAUUGUAGCUGCGGGUCAUCCUCUUCCCCUUCCGGGCUAGGCAGAAUGCAAUGUUCCGCACAGUAUGAGGAGCCGAAGGUCAGUUGUCGCUGGUACCACGCCAAUGCUGGGCUGUGCCUGUGCAGCCAACUCAUGCCUAAUACUAUAGGCGUGUCCGACAGUUGGGUGACAUUGAAGCUGAUGACUUCUCGGUGAUUCCCAAUUUGCAUCACCAUCGGAGGCGUUUGCUGCACCACCUGCCCACCCAGCAAUUCCCUGCCAUCCACCGUGACAACUUUCAGAGGCAGCGUGGCUGGCAGGAGUGCUAUGUUGUGCUCUUGAAGGAAAUCCAGUCCUAUGAAGUCUGCGUUACUACCAGAGUCAAUGGUAAUCGGCACUUCCAUAGUGAGUCCAUUGGGUAGUUGGAGCGAUGCUGUGAGCUGCACCACUGGUUUGGGCGGGAGGGGGUCUGUGGGCUGCAAAAUCUCUGGGGACGGCUUCAUUGACUUGUCUGGUUGGGCCCCAGUGCCUCUUCCUCCAACCAGACUCUGUCGUUUCCCUGCUGUGUUUCUCUCUGCUGAGUUGCUUCUGUUACUGUUGCUGAGGCUGCAGUGUGCUUGUGGAGCCUCUGGGGACACUCUUUCGCCAUGUGCUGAGCACUGUCGCAGAUGUAGCACUUCCUGUUCCCUCUAGGAGGCUUCGCUUUGACUGCUCCCGGUGUUAAGGCUCUGGUUGUUGACUGAGCCCUGGCGCCUCCAAUCUCCAUCGGUUGCUCUCCCCUCCUUGCGGAGGUGGGGAUUGCACACGCGCUGUAUCCUUGGGAAAGAGGGGAGGUGCUCUCACUGGCGUACGUCCCCAACGUCCUUCUUCUCUGUUCCAUGGACGUUCUUCCAGACGCACCCCAAUUUGCAGCGCCCGCCGGACAACCUCCUGAGUGCUCUUUGGUCUCUCCCCCCUUGCAAUCUCAUCUUUCACAUUUGCAUUCAAGCCUUCCCAAAAAGGUCUCUGACUGGGGCAGAAUCCUUCUCCCAUCCCAGCGCAUGGACUAAUGCAAAAAGCGGGAAUGGUACUGCCUUACACUGGCUCUGCCUUGUUUGAGCCCAUGUAUGUCUUUUCUGGCGAUAUCAAUGUCUAUAUUUGAUAAAAAACACGAAUCCAUCGCUUUAAUGAAUGCAUCCGCAUUUUGGAGCGCCGGAUCCUUAUCUCUCCACAGAUUGCGCAGCCACGCUUUAGCUUCCCCAUGCAAAUGGGACAAGAUAAACCCCACCUUCUCUUGCUCAUCUCUAAAGUCUUUAUCCAGCAGUUCCAGCGCAAACAGCACGUCUGCUCGGAAGUUAGGGUACUGCUGCAAAUUCCCAUCGAAAUGAGAUACCAGGCUGCCUCCUCUUUUCCCCAGCCCAAUCCCCUCUGAUUUGGGUCCCGGUUGCCCCUGCUUAGCAAGCACUUCCAACCUGGCUUGGAGAUCCCUGCAGGCGGCAGCCGCUUCCUCUUCCCUUUUCCUGGAUGCGAGUACCUCCGCGUUGAGUUGUGUCACUGCAUUUUGCAGGGCUGCUAGUUGCUGUUCUGUAGUCAUCUUGCCUGACUUUUGUGAGCUCGCAAAGCACCAAUCUUCUUCCCACGCUGCGUCCACUCACGUUACGAGGUUUUUGGUGCAAAACUUUAAGAGAUGGAGCUUACUGUCAGAGCUGGCUCCAGGUCCCAGCUCACAGAGGACCAACGCUAGCCGGCAGUAAUGUGCAAAAGUCUUUAUUGAAGUACAGUUUCCAUUUUCAAGCCGGAGCGCCCCAGCUCUACGUCUAGGGGUUAGAUCGGCGAAGCUCCAUCUGAGUCUCCGCCCCCUGUACACCAGUUUAAGAUUCUAGCCUUACUCCACCUCUUACGUCUCUCCUUUCUCCUCUGGGUCCUGCUACCCCCCGGGGUCCCUUCCUUCCUGGAUUCUUCUGACGCUGACCCUCCUGACUCCUCCCCCUCUUUUCGGCGGGCUUUGGGACCUGGCUCCCUAUCCGGGCUGCCAACUGCGCCGCCCUCCUGUACAUUUGAACUUGGCGCGCGCGCCCAGCCUUCAACCUUCCUCUCGACCGUUUCCUCGCUCCCCGAUGGAGGCGUGGCCAAUCCUGACUCAUGUCCUCCCACUGGCAGUGCGCCGCCUGAUCCCGAUGCCUGGGACUCCUCCCCCCUACUGCACUCUGGUGUGGACGCUGGUCCUGAUUUCCAACUGCUGCUCUCUGAGUCCCCUCUGGCCCCUUCUUCCUGGGGUGUCCCCCUCGGCACCCCCCUUGCUCUGACCACGGGAGCCCCUUUCUGUGAAUCUUCCGAUUCGCUGGAAAGACUCAGAGACCUCGGACCGCUGUCAUCGCUAACAUUUCCUUCGGACUCCUCCCCCUCGCUCUCUAUUUCCUCCCUUUCCUGUGCCUCUGCUCCUGAACCCCUGACACUUGCAUUGUUCUUUCGGUGUUCAGUCCCCCACAAAUAGCAAAGCAAAGUGUAAUAAGCCAAAACAAAGCCAAACAGGUUGUUUUGGGUUGCAGCAACAUAGAAAGAAGAAUCUUGCAUUUUGCUUAUUUCGUGUUCUUUGGUGUUAAUGCACAUUGACCCAGAAAUCUCAAAGUGUGUGUAAUGAGACCAAAAUAACACAACAUGGUCUUUUCGCUUCCAUAUGCCUAGAAAGAAGACAAAUAAGCUUUGAUUGUGCUUAUUUCAAUUCGCAUGGGGUUUUAUGGGUGUGCACCAGAAUCACGCCCAACCAAAACAAGCUUGGAAGCCAAGGUGUUUUGGCUUCCAACUACAUAAAAAGAAGCUUAUAAAGCUCUCAUUGGGCUUAUUUCAAAUUGGUGUUUUUGGGGUUAGAAUGCACAAUCACGCAAAAAUCGCAGUGACAUGUUUAUUAUCAUCCCAAACCAAGCAUAUGUGUUUUGGUUCCAUCUCAAUAGAAAGAGGACGAAUAAGCUUGCAUUGUUCUUUCGGUGUUCAGUCCCCCACAAAUAGCAAAGCAAAGUGUAAUAAGCCAAACAAAGCCAAACAGGUUGUUUUGGGUUGCAGCAACAUAGAAAGAAGAAUCUUGCAUUUUGCUUAUUUCGUCGUGUUCUUUGGUGUUAAUGCUCAUUGACCAAGAAAUCGCAAAGUGUGUGUAAGGAGAACAAAAUCACACAUUGUCUUUUCGCUUCCAUAUGCGUAGAAAGAAGACAAAUAAGCUUUGAUUGUGCUUAUUUCAAUUUGCAUGGGGUUUUAUGGGUGUGCACCAGAAUCACCCCCAACCAAAGCACAGUUUUGGCUUCCAACUACAUAAAAAGAAGAUGACAAAGCUCUGAUUGGGCUUAUUUGAAUGGUGUUUUUGGGGUUAGAAUGCACAAUCACCCAAAAAUCGCAGAGUGACAUGUUUGUUAUCAGCUCAAACCAAGCAUACGUGUUUUGGUUCCAUCUCAAUAGAAAGAGGACGAAUAAGCUUGCAUUGUUCUUUCGGUGUUCAUUCACUCACAAAUAGCAAAGCGAAUUGUAAUAAGCCUAAACAAAGCCAAACAGGUUGUUUUGGGUUGCAGCAACAUAGAAAGAAGAAUCUUGGAUUUUGCUUAUUACGUGUUCUUUGGAGUUAAUGCACAUUCACCCAGAAAUCGCAAAGUGUGUAAUGAGACCAAAACAACACAACACUGUCUUUUCGCUUCCAUAUGCCUAGAAAGAAGACAAAUAAGCUUUGAUUGUGCUUAUUUCAAUUCGCAUGGGGUUUUAUGGGUGUGCACCAGAAUCACUCCCAAGCAAAGUACAGUUUUGGCUUACAUCUACAUAAAAAGAAGAUGAUAAAGCUCUGACUGGGCUUGUUUCAAAUUGGUGUUUUGGGGGUUAGAAUGCACAUUCAGCCAAAAAUCGCAGACAUGUUUAUUAUCAGACCGAUCCAAGCAUAGGUGUUUUUGUUCCAUCUCAAUAGAAAGAGGACGAAUAAGCUUGCAUUGUUCUUUCUGUGUUCGCUCCCCCACAAAUAGCAAUGCAAAGUGUAAUAAGCCUAAAGAAAGCCAAACAGGUUGUUUUGGGUUGCAGCAACAUAGAAAGAAGAAUCUUGGAUUUUGCUUAUUACGUGUUCUUUGGUGUUAAUGCACAUUGACCCAGAAAUCGCAAAGUGUGUGUAAGGAGACCAAAAUAACACAACAUUGUCUUUUCGCUUCCAUAUGCGUAGAAAGAAGACAAAUAAGCUUUGAUUGUGCUUAUUUCAAUUCGCAUGGGGUUUUAUGGGAGUGCACCAGAAUCACCCCCAACCAAAGCAAAAAGGGCUUUUGGGUUCCAGCUACAUAAAAAGAAGAUGAUAAUGCUCUCAUUGGGCUUAUUUCAAAUUGGUGUUUUUGGGGUUAGAAUGCACAAUCACCCAAAAAUCGCAGAGUGACAUGUUUGUUAUCAGCCCAAACCAAGCAUAGGUGUUUUGCUUCCAUCUCAAUAGAAAGAGGACGAAUAAGCUUGCAUUGUUCUUUCGGUGUUCAGUCCCCCCACAAAUAGCAAAGCAAAGUGUAAUAAGCCUAAACAAAGCCAAACAGGUUGUUUUGGGUUGCAGCAACAUAGAAAGAAGAAUCUUGGAUUUUGCUUAUUUCGUGUUCUUUGGUGUUAAUGCUCAUUGACCCAGAAAUCGCAAAGUGUGUGUAAGGAGAACAAAAUCACACAACAUUGUCUUUUCGCUUCCAUAUGCGUAGAAAGAAGACAAAUAAGCUUUGAUUGUGCUUAUUUCAAUUUGCAUGGGGUUUUAUGGGUGUGCACCAGAAUCACCCCCAAUCAAAGCACAAAGGUCUUUUGGGUUCCAACUACAUAAAAAGAAGAAGAUAAAGCUCUGAUUGGGCUUAUUUCAAAUUGGUGUUGUCAGGGGUUCAGGAGCAGAGGCACAGGAAAGGGAGGAAAUAGAGAGCGAGGGGGAGGAGUCCGAAGGAAAUGUUAGCGAUGACAGCGGUCCGAGGUCUCUGAGUCUUUCCAGCGAAUCGGAAGAUUCACAGAAAGGGGCUCCCUUGGUCAGAGCAAGGGAGGUGCCGAGGGGGACACCCCAGGAAGAAGGGGCCAGAGGGGACUCAGAGAGCAGCAGUUGGAAAUCAGGACCAGCGUCCACACCAGAGUGCAGUAGGGGGGAGGAGUCCCAGGCAUCGGGAUCAGGCGGCGCACUGCCAGUGGGAGGACAUGAGUCAGGAUUGGCCACGCCUCCAUCGGGGAGCGAGGAAACGGUCGAGAGGAAGGUUGAAGGCUGGGCGCGCGCGCCAAGUUCAAAUGUACAGGAGGGCGGCGCAGUUGGCAGCCCGGAUAGGGAGCCAGGUCCCAAAGCCCGCCGAAAAGAGGGGGAGGAGUCAGGAGGGUCAGCGUCAGAAGAAUCCAGGAAGGAAGGGACCCCGGGGGGUAGCAGGACCCAGAGGAGAAAGGAGAGACGUAAGAGGUGGAGUAAGGCUAGAAUCUUAAACUGGUGUACAGGGGGCGGAGACUCAGAUGGAGCUUCGCCGAUCUAACCCCUAGACGUAGAGCUGGGGCGCUCCGGCUUGAAAAUGGAAACUGUACUUCAAUAAAGACUUUUGCACAUUACUGCCGGCUAGCGUUGGUCCUCUGUGAGCUGGGACCUGGAGCCAGCUCUGACAGUAAGCUCCAUCUCAUAAAGUUUUGCACCAAAAACCUCGUAACGUGAGUGGACGCAGCGAGGGAAGAAGAUUGGUGCUUUGCGAGCUCACAAAAGUCAGGCAAGAUGACUACAGAACAGCAACUAGCAGCCCUGCAAAAUGCAGUGACACAACUCAACGCGGAGGUACUCGCAUCCAGGAAAAGGGAAGAGGAAGCGGCUGCCGCCUGCAGGGAUCUCCAAGCCAGGUUGGAAGUGCUUGCUAAGCAGGGGCAACCGGGACCCAAAUCAGAGGGGAUUGGGCUGGGGAAAAGAGGAGGCAGCCUGGUAUCUCAUUUCGAUGGGAAUUUGCAGCAGUACCCUAACUUCCGAGCAGACGUGCUGUUUGCGCUGGAACUGCUGGAUAAAGACUUUAGAGAUGAGCAAGAGAAGGUGGGGUUUAUCUUGUCCCAUUUGCAUGGGGAAGCUAAAGCGUGGCUGCGCAAUCUGUGGAGAGAUAAGGAUCCGGCGCUCCAAAAUGCGGAUGCAUUCAUUAAAGCGAUGGAUUCGUGUUUUUUAUCAAAUAUAGACAUUGAUAUCGCCAGAAAAGACAUACAUGGGCUCAAACAAGGCAGAGCCAGUGUAAGGCAGUACCAUUCCCGCUUUUUUGCAUUAGUCCAUGCGCUGGGAUGGGAGAAGGAUUCUGCCCCAGUCAGAGACCUUUUUUGGGAAGGCUUGAAUGCAAAUGUGAAAGAUGAGAUUGCAAGGGGGGAGAGACCAAAGAGCACUCAGGAGGUUGUCCGGCGGGCGCUGCAAAUUGGGGUGCGUCUGGAAGAACGUCCAUGGAACAGAGAAGAAGGACGUUGGGGACGUACGCCAGUGAGAGCACCUCCCCUCUUCCCCAAGGAUACAGCGCGUGUGCAAUCCCCACCUCCGCAAGGAGGGGGAGAGCAACCGAUGGAGAUUGGAGGCGCCAGGGCUCAGUCAACAACCAGAGCCUUAACACCGGGAGCAGUCAAAGCGAAGCCUCCUAGAGGGAACAGGAAGUGCUACAUCUGCGACAGUGCUCAGCACAUGGCGAAAGAGUGUCCCCAGAGGCUCCACAAGCACACUGCAGCCUCAGCAACAGUAACAGAAGCAACUCAGCAGAGAGAAACACAGCAGGGAAACGACAGAGUCUGGUUGGAGGAAGAGGCACUGGGGCCCAACCAGACAAGUCAAUGAAGCCGUCCCCAGAGAUUUUGCAGCCCACAGACCCCUCCCGCCCAAACCAGUGGUGCAGCUCACAGCAUCGCUCCAACUACCCAAUGGACUCACUAUGGAAGUGCCGAUUACCAUUGACUCUGGUAGUAACGCAGACUUCAUAGGACUGGAUUUCCUUCAAGAGCACAACAUAGCACUCCUGCCAGCCACGCUGCCUCUGAAAGUUGUCACGGUGGAUGGCAGGGAAUUGCUGGGGGCAGGUGGUGCAGCAAACGCCUCCGAUGGUGAUGCAAAUUGGGAAUCACCGAGAAGUCAUCAGCUUCAAUGUCACCCAACUGUCGGACACGCCUAUAGUAUUAGGCAUGAGUUGGCUGCACAGGCACAGCCCAGCAUUGGCGUGGUACCAGCGACAACUGACCUUCGGCUCCUCAUACUGUGCGGAACAUUGCAUUCUGCCUAGCCCGGAAGGGGAAGAGGAUGACCCGCAGCUACAAUUAGGCACGCUGCAAGCAGUGCCACUCAAGUACGCAGCGUUUUUGGAGGUUUUCUGCGAGAAGGAAGCGGACAAGCUACCUCCCCACAGGUCUUAUGACUGCAAGAUUGACCUCCUGCCAGGGGCGACGCUGCCAACCGGGAAACUGUAUUCCAUGUCCGAAGACGAGCUGCAGGAACUCAGGGAGUUCAUAGACCUCAACUUGAAGCGCGGUUUCAUCCGGGAGUCGAAGGCAGUGGGGGGCAGUCCUGUAUUCUUUGUGAAGAAGAAGGACACGCCCCAAAAAGGCUUGUGGUGGACUAUAGAAUUUUGAACUCAAAACCAAGCCCACAGCCUUUCCCAUGCCCAAGAUAGAUGACCUGCUCGCAACGGUGAGGAAAGGACGCGUUUUCACAAAGUUGGAUCUGCGAGGGGCGUACAACCUGAUUCGCAUACGGGAGGGCGACGAAUGGAAGACUGCCAUGUUCACGCCCCUGGGCACCUAUGAAUACAGAGUUAUGCCCUUUGGAUUACAAAAUGGCUCCCACUGUUUUCAAGCCUUCAUGCAUCACGUAUUGGCGGGUCUCCUCUACAAGAAAUGCGUCUGCUUCCUGGACGACAUCCUGAUAUUUUCAGAAUCAGAGGAGGCCCACGAGGGAGACGUCAAGGAAGUUCUGCAGAGACUGCAGGAGCACAGGCUGUACGCCAAGCUGGAAAAGUGCCAGUUCGACAUGAAGGAAGUAGAUUUCCUGGGCUACAAGUUGUCGGACAAGGGGCUCGCCAUGGACAGCGCCAAGGUUCGCUCAGUGUUGGACUGGAAGAGCCCGCGCAAUCGGAAGGAGGUCCAACGGUUUGUCGGUUUCGCCAACUUUUACCGCAAGUUCAUCAAGGGGUUCGCGAUGCAGACGGCAGCCAUUACCGACACACUCAGCUCCAAGAAGAAGAAGUUCAUCUGGACGGAGCAAGCGGAACAGUCCUUUCAGAAACUCAAGCCGUCUCUUCUCGUCCGAAGAGCAGCUACUGCAUGUGAAUCCCAGCAGACCGAUGAGGGUUGAAACGGACGCCUCAGACAGAGCCGUGGGAGCAGUACUGUUGCAGCAAGACCCGCAUGGGGACUGGAGACCGUGUGCCUUCUACUCCAGGAAGCUCAGCAAGUCAGAGCAGAACUACACCAUCUGGGACAGGGAGUUGCUGGCCAUUCAUGCAGCAUUCAAGGCGUGGCGGCACUUCCUCAUUGGAGCCAAACACACAGUGCAGGUCCGCACGGACCAUAAAAACCUGGAGUACUGGCGCACGGCAAGGUUCCUGAACCAGAGGCACAUACGAUGGGCGGAGUUCUUUGCGGAUUUCGACUUCAGGAUAGAGUACAUCCCAGGCGACAACAACAUCAUGGCGGAUGCACUGUCCAGAAAGCCGCAAUACCUCGAGGAGGCGGCACCAGCAGCGGCCAAGCACAUUUUCGCACCGAAAGCGUGGGCGUGCGCUUCAGCAACCGUGGACCUGGAUGCUGUACGCCGAGCACUGCAGGAGGACCCCUUCGCGCAAGCAAAGAUGGCAGAGGUGCAAAGGGGCACGGCGGAGGACGACGAGUUCCAGAUACGCGACGGAUUGCUCAUCCGCAGAGGGGCCCUCUACGUACCGGGAGACGACCUCCGCGCGAAAGUACUGCAGCAGUUGCACGACGCACCCACCGCCGGGCACUUUGGCAAAGAGAAGACGGUAGAAUUAGUAGCCAGAGAUUUUUGGUGGCCCAAGAUGCGGGGGGAAGUCGCGGAUUACGUCUCGAGGUGCGACACCUGCCAAAGGGCCAAGUCAGUGCACAAACCGCCGGCGGGACUGCUCGAACCGCUGCAGACACCGAUCGAACCGUGGGAGAGGGUGGCCCUGGACUUUGUCACGGAUCUACCCAGCUCGAGGGGCAAGACGGCAGUGCUAGUGGUGGUGGACAUGUUCACCAAAAUGGCCCACUUCAUUCCGUGCGCGAAGGUGGCCACGGCGGAACAGACCGCCAAACUGUUCAUAGACCACGUGUUCAGGGUUCACGGUCUGCCACGGUCUAUCCUGUCCGACCGGGGGCGACAGUUCAUCUCGAACUUCUGGCAGAAGCUGAUGGGUUUCCUGAACGUCAAGAUCAACCUAGCGUCGGCGAGACACCCGCAGACGAACGGACAAGCGGAGCGAGUCAACGCCAUCAUGCAGCAGUACCUGCGAUGCUACGCAAAUCAGCAGCCGGCAACAUGGGUGGACUACCUGCCGCUCGCUGAGUUCGCCUACAACAACACGAAGCACGUGUCCACGGGGUGACACCGUUCUUCGCCAACAACGGGAGGCAUCCCAGAACCUUCCCGGGAUUAGCGAGAGCGGGGGAGGGGGAGCCACAGGCAGCGGAAGCCUUAGCAUCAGAGUUGCAGGAGGUUCACGAACAGCUUCGGAGGCAGUUAGAACUAGCAAAGCACGCAUACAAACUGCAGGCUGACAAGCACAGAAGGGUUGGGGAAGACAUACAGGUGGGAGACUGGGUUUGGUUAGCAGCCCAGGCAGUGCCGGCCAGAUCGUUAGCGAAGAAGAAGCUAGGGCAUAAGCAGCUAGGACCCUACCAAGUCGAGGCACAGGUCAAUCCAGUGGCCUUCCGGUUGACACUGCCGGAGGGAUCCAGAAUGCACCCAGUUUUCCAUAGAUCAGUGCUCACGCCCUACAAAGCACCUCAUAGAUUUCAGGAGCCAGGAACGGCACCAGACCCGUUCAGGGAAACGCCCACAAGGGGGGGGUCGCCAAGGCGGGAACCCGUCAACGAAGUCACAGAGAUUUUAGACUCGAGAUGGGGGAGGAGGGAGUGGAAUACCUCCUAGCCAAGGAAGGUACCGCGGCUAGGGGCGACAGUUGGGUGCCAGAUUAUGCUCUGGAGGAAUCUUGGCUCAAGGACGAGUUCCAUGCCCUUUUCCCACACAGGCCCAUGCCAGCCGAGUAUUUCGACGACUGGCUUUUCACACCCACAUUUUCAGCUAGCACAUUCCAGGGGUUCACCUCGGACGAGGAACCGGCACUAGAAACACGUUCCCCGGAGGGAUCACCCUCGGGUGCAGCCUCAGACCGUUCCUAUUGGGGGGACAAUCACCCCGCGGAGCAGUGGCGCAGGACGGGGGUGGGGGGUCCUUGGCAGGCACCGUCCCCGGAGGCGACCGGGGGAGAGACGGACAUGGACGUGUUGGGGGAGGACCUUGGGGUCGAGCACGGCGGCAAAGAGAUGGAAGCAGAGGAAAUUGAGGUCGGCGAGAGCACGGAGGACGAGCCGGACUUAUCCGGCUGGAUGCACGCCACGGGGGACGAACUGUAUCCGGCACUCACCCCCACAACGACGGAGCACCCAGUACCCACACCUGAAGGAGGGGAGGGGGAAGGGGGGCUUCGAGGGGGAUGGAUGUCAGGGGUUCAGGAGCAGAGGCACAGGAAAGGGAGGAAAUAGAGAGCGAGGGGGAGGAGUCCGAAGGAAAUGUUAGCGAUGACAGCGGUCCGAGGUCUCUGAGUCUUUCCAGCGAAUCGGAAGAUUCACAGAAAGGGGCUCCCUUGGUCAGAGCAAGGGGGUGCCGAGGGGGACACCCCAGGAAGAAGGGGCCAGAGGGGACUCAGAGAGCAGCAGUUGGAAAUCAGGACCAGCGUCCACACCAGAGUGCAGUAGGGGGGAGGAGUCCCAGGCAUCGGGAUCAGGCGGCGCACUGCCAGUGGGAGGACAUGAGUCAGGAUUGGCCACGCCUCCAUCGGGGAGCGAGGAAACGGUCGAGAGGAAGGUUGAAGGCUGGGCGCGCGCGCCAAGUUCAAAUGUACAGGAGGGCGGCGCAGUUGGCAGCCCGGAUAGGGAGCCAGGUCCCAAAGCCCGCCGAAAAGAGGGGGAGGAGUCAGGAGGGUCAGCGUCAGAAGAAUCCAGGAAGGAAGGGACCCCGGGGGGUAGCAGGACCCAGAGGAGAAAGGAGAGACGUAAGAGGUGGAGUAAGGCUAGAAUCUUAAACUGGUGUACAGGGGCGGAGACUCAGAUGGAGCUUCGCCGAUCUAACCCCUAGACGUAGAGCUGGGGCGCUCCGGCUUGAAAAUGGAAACUGUACUUCAAUAAAGACUUUUGCACAUUACUGCCGGCUAGCGUUGGUCCUCUGUGAGCUGGGACCUGGAGCCAGCUCUGACAGGUGUUUUUGGGGUUAGAAUGCACAUUCACCCAAAAAUCGCAGUGACAUGUUUAUUAUCAGCCCAAACCAAGCAUAGGUGUUUUGGUUCCAUCUCAAUAGAAAGAGGACG